GGGCAAAUGGUCUAGGGGUAUGAUUUUCGCUUCGCAUUAUCCAGCAAGUGCACUUGUGAAAGGUCCGGGGUUCAAAUCCCCGUUUGUCCA